GUGAGGAAUUUUCCGCAAUGGGCGAAAGCCUGACGGAGCAAUGCCGCGUGAAGGAUGAAGGCCUAUGGGUUGUAAACUUCUUUUCUCAGAAAAGAAUUAUGACGGUAUCUGAGGAAUAAGCAUCGGCUAACUCUGUGCCAGCAGCCGCGGUAAGACAGAGGAUGCAAGCGUUAUCCGGAAUGAUUGGGCGUAAAGCGCCUGUAGGUUGUUUAAAAAGUAUUCUGUCAAAGAUUAGGGCUUAACCCUAGAUAGGCAGAAUAAACUUUUAAGCUAGAGUUUGGUAGAGGCAGAGGGAAUUCCCGGUGGAGCGGUGAAAUGCGUAGAUAUCGGGAGGAACACCAAAGGCGAAGGCACUCUGCUGGGCCAAUACUAACACUGAGAGACGAAAGCGAGGGGAGCAAAUGGGAUUAGAAACCCUUGUAGUCC
rnacentral:rRNA from 1 species